rnacentral:rRNA from 1 species
CCGCCGGCGACCGGCGCACGGGUGAGUAACACGUAUGCAACCUGGCCGUCACAGGUGGAUAACCGGAAGAAAUUCCGACUAAUACAGCAUAACACUCCUGAGGGACAUCCCUUGGGAGUCAAAGGAGGCAACUCCGGUGACGGAUGGGCAUGCGGCGCAUUAGGUAGUUGGUAGGGUAACGGCCUACCAAGCCGACGAUGCGUAGGGGUUCUGAGAGGAAGGUCCCCCACAUUGGAACUGAGACACGGUCCAAACUCCUACGGGAGGCAGCAG